UUUUUUUUAUUUAAAUAAAAAACUAAAAUUCAAAUCUCCAUAGUUGGUAACCCUUUUCGUUUAUGUUUUAAGGGGAAUCCCUCGACUGUAUUACACGUAAUUUUUAUUUUGUUUUCAUUGUCACUAAUUAGUUAGUGUUGAGACUUUUAGGUCAAAAUAACCACUUAUGUGUUAAAUAUCGUUUAGUGAGAGAACAGGGAGGGGUGGGCUUACAGAAAAAUAUUACGGCGAGUUACACAGGGAAUGAAGAGUCAAUAAUAUUCAAAAAUUGCGUAAUGUAAUACAUGAAAGUCCCAUAAGGAGAUGGUAACACGGCCUAGCUCUUUGUGACCUGGCGGCUGCUUUCCUGGCAGCAGCGGUCGGGCAGCCGGAGAGCGAGCGGUGUGUGCUGCGGUUGGAGCUGACGUGACCGCGACCGUUGCACCCCGGCGUGGGGCACUUCAAGAUCGUCUCGUGCAACGCCAAUACUAUACAGAACGAAUUAUAAUGUAUAGAAUUUGUGAUUGGAAGUGAUCUACUCGUAUUAUAAAAAUAUAUAACAACAGUGCUCAGGAAAUAAUACGUAUUUCUUUCUUUUUUUUGUUUAAUGUAUUAAUUAUCAUAUUUUUUCUGAUAAUAUAUAACUAUAAACCAAAUCUUUUUGUAAUAUGGAUAAAAUCAUAUUACGCUGACCCCAAAUGAUUGGGAUAGGGGUAGGAAGAUGAUGAUUUUUUCUGAACAGUAACCGCGUAUUUUAUUAUAUGUUACGCAGUGUAUUUACAGAAUAGAUUCCUUCAUCGUAGUACUUAUAAUUAAUCAGAUU